AACGAACGCUGGCGGCAUGCCUAACACAUGCAAGUCGAACGAGACCUUCGGGUCUAGUGGCGCACGGGUGCGUAACGCGUGGGAACCUGCCCUUAGGUUCGGAAUAACUCCCCGAAAGGGGUGCUGAUACCGGAUAACGUCUUCGGACCAAAGAUGUAUCGCCUUUGGAUGGGCCCGCGUUGGAUUCGCUAGUUGGUAGGGUAAAAGCCUACCAAGGCGACGAUCCAUAGCUGGUCUGAGAGGAUGAUCAGCCACACUGGGACUGAGACACGGCCCAGACCCCUACGGGAGGCAGCAGUGGGGAAUAUAGGACAAUGGGCGAAAGCCUGAUCCAGCAAUGCCGCGUGAGUGAUGAAGGCCUUAGGGUUGUAAAGCUCUUUUACCCGGGAUGAUAAUGACAGUACCGGGAGAAUAAGCUCCGGCUAACUCCGUG
rnacentral:rRNA from 1 species